rnacentral:rRNA from 1 species
UACGUAGGGUGCAAGCGUUGUCCGGAAUUAUUGGGCGUAAAGAGCGUGUAGGCGGCCCGAUUAGUCCGCUGUGAAAGUCCAGGGCUCAACCCUGGAAUGCCGGUGGAUACUGUCGGGCUAGAGUCCGGAAGGGGCGAGUGGAAUUCCUGGUGUAGCGGUGAAAUGCGCAGAUAUCAGGAGGAACACCGAUGGCGAAGGCAGCCCCCUGGGUCAAGAUUGACGCUCAUGCACGAAAGCGUGGGGAGCAAACAGG